rnacentral:rRNA from 1 species
AGUGAACGCUGGCGGUAGGCCUAACACAUGCAAGUCGAACGGCAGCACAGGAGAGCUUGCUCUCUGGGUGGCGAGUGGCGGACGGGUGAGGAAUACAUCGGAAUCUACUUUUUCGUGGGGGAUAACGUAGGGAAACUUACGCUAAUACCGCAUACGACCUACGGGUGAAAGCAGGGGACCUUCGGGCCUUGCGCGAUUGAAUGAGCCGAUGUCGGAUGAGCUAGUUGGCGGGGUAAAGGCCCACCAAGGCGACGAUCCGUAGCUGGUCUGAGAGGAUGAUCAGCCACACUGGAACUGAGACACGGUCCAGACUCCUACGGGUGGCAGCAGUGGGGAAUAUUGGACAAUGGGCGCAAGCCUGAUCCAGCCAUACCGCGUGGGUGAAGAAGGCCUUCAGGUUGUAAAGCCCUUUUGUUGGGAAAGAAAUCCAGCUGGCUAAUACCCGGUUGGGAUGACGGUACCCAAAGAAUAAGCACCGGCUAACUUCGUGCCAGCAGCCGCCGCAG